rnacentral:rRNA from 1 species
CCUCGGGCUACACACGUGCUACAAUCGGUUGGUACAACGAGUUGCGAGUCCGGUGGCGGCGAGCUAAUCUCUUAAAGCCAAUCUCAGUUCCGGAUUGUAGGCUGCAACUCGCCUACAUGAAGUCGGAAUCGCUAGUAAUCGCGGAUCAGCACGCCGCGGUGAAUACGUUCCCGGGCCUU